rnacentral:rRNA from 1 species
UACGUAGGUGGCAAGCGUUGUCCGGAUUUACUGGGUGUAAAGGGCGUGCAGCCGGAGAGACAAGUCAGAUGUGAAAUCCACGGGCUCAACCCGUGAACUGCAUUUGAAACUGUUUCCCUUGAGUGUCGGAGAGGUAAUCGGAGUUCCUUGUGUAGCGGUGAAAUGCGUAGAUAUAAGGAAGAACACCAGUGGCGAAGGCGGAUUACUGGACGAUAACUGACGGUGAGGCGCGAAAGCGUGGGGAGCAAACAGG